CAGGGUCUUGUGAACGAUUUUCGGGUGCUGCCAUAUUGGAUGCCGUCACCGGAAGUGAUAUUGCAGUGUUUGGUUAUAUGUACCAGUCAGACAAUAUCAUGGCGGUGGCCUGCAGAAAUCAUCAAGGGGGUACCCACAUUCCCCUGGCUAUGCUGGAAGUGUCUCAGAUUCUGUCUUGGGCAGAGAGGGAUCAUUGCUCUCUAUCAGCAGUACUCACAUACCAGGUGUGAACAACAGGAAGCGGAUUAUCUCAGCCAUCAAUUGGUUCAUCCUUGAGAGUGGUCUCUCCUUCAGGAUAACUUUGAUCAAAUGGGGUCUACUGGACAUCUUAUUUAAAUCACAAACUUCCAAAGUAUUGUGCAAGAUCAGGAGAUCCAAAGGCUCAAAUGAUAGACACCUUGGUGUGACCAUUAAAUUUUCAUCUUGCA